rnacentral:rRNA from 1 species
AGAUUGAACGCUGGCGGGAGGCCUAACACAUGCAAGUCGAGCGGCAGCGGGAAAGUAGCUUGCUACUUUUGCCGGCGAGCGGCGGACGGGUGAGUAAUGCCUAGGGAUCUGCCCAGUCGAGGGGGAUAACAGUGGGAAACGACUGCUAAUACCGCAUACGCCCUACGGGGGAAAGGAGGGGACCUGCGGGCCUUCCGCGAUUGGAUGAACCUAGGUGGGAUUAGCUAGUUGGUGAGGUAAAGGCUCACCAAGGCGACGAUCCCUAGCUGUUUUGAGAGGAAGAUCACCCACAAUGGGAAUGAGACACGGCCCAGGAUUCUUACGGGAGGCAGCAGAGGGGAAUAUUGCACAAUGGGGGGAACCCUGAUGCAGCCAUGCCGCGUGUGUGAAGAAGGCCUUCGGGUUGUAAAGCACUUUCAGUAGGGAGGAAAGGGUGAGUCUUAAUACGGCUUAUCUGUGACGUUACCUACAGAAGAAGGACCGGCUAACUCCGUGCCAGCAGCCGCGGUAAUACGGAGGGUCCGAGCGUUAAUCGGAAUUACUGGGCGUAAAGCGUGCGCAGGCGGUUUGUUAAGCGAGAUGUGAAAGCCCUGGGCUCAACCUAGGAAUAGCAUUUCGAAUUGACAAACUAGAGUCUUGUAGAGGGGGGUAGAAUUCCAGGUGUAGCGGUGAAAUGCGUAGAGAUCUGGAGGAAUACCGGUGGCGAAGGCGGCCCCCUGGACAAAGACUGACGCUCACGCACGAAAGCGUGGGGAGCAAAAAGGACUAGAUACCCUGGUAGUCCACGCCGUAAACG